GGUCGCUUUCCCAUCCGCUGCCUCGACGAUCUUCGCUUGCCUCCUCGCUCGCUGUCCCGUUGUCCUAGCCCGCCGCCGCCCGCUGAGCUUGUCUUUUCCCUGCUUGCAGACAUGGCUGACAUCAAGAACAACCCCGAAUAUUCUUCGUUUUUCGGUGUCAUGGGCGCCUCGUCCGCCAUGGUCUUCAGCGCCAUGGGAGCCGCCUAUGGCACAGCCAAGAGCGGCACUGGCAUCGCAGCCAUGUCAGUCAUGAGGCCAGAGCUGAUCAUGAAGUCCAUCAUCCCAGUGGUUAUGGCUGGGAUCAUCGCCAUCUACGGCCUGGUGGUGGCAGUACUUAUCGCUAACUCCCUGACUGAUGGCAUCACCCUCUACAGGAGUUUUCUUCAACUGGGUGCUGGCCUGAGUGUGGGGCUGAGUGGCCUGGCUGCUGGCUUUGCCAUUGGCAUCGUCGGAGAUGCUGGUGUUCGGGGCACUGCCCAGCAGCCUCGACUGUUCGUGGGCAUGAUCCUGAUCCUCAUCUUUGCGGAGGUGCUUGGCCUCUACGGUCUCAUCGUGGCCCUAAUCCUCUCCACAAAGUAGUCCUUUUCCACCAUCAGUCACAGGAUAGGAUGUAAAGAUCACCCCUCCUCAUUCCAGAACGAACAGCCUGACACAUGCACGGGCAGCUGCCCCUCAGUAGUUGGUCUUGUAAAUGUGCAGUGUCCUAGUGCCCAUUGUCUGUCGCCCCCGCCUUGCCCCUACUGCACCGUGCUGUGGACAUACGGGCCCACUCAUCUCCCACCCAGGCCCCUGACCAGUGACGAAGUCAGCCUCUGGUUACCCCACCCAUCGCCCUAGAGUGCUCCUGUGUAUAAGAAUGAACUAGAGUUGUCAUUUUUCUCUUCACUGGAUGUUUAUUUAUAAAAGAUUUGACCUAUUCAUGCGUCUGUGGAGCAGCUCCUGUCUCCCAACUAUAUAGUAAUCAUUAGUAGACUGUUGCCUUGUGGGGUUCCUGUUGCUGAGACUCCUUGGAUGGAGCCACCCUUCCCCCUGCCCUGAACAGCCAGGGUGGAGGAUAGAGUGCUACUGCUCCUCAGAGCUGGCUCCCAGCUGUGUCCAAUAAAAGUUCUCGGAUGUGAAAAAAAAAAAAAAAA